rnacentral:pre_miRNA from 1 species
GAAAUACUCCCUCCGUUCGGAAUUACUUGUUUCGGAAAUUGAUGUAUCUAGAACUAAAAUAUGUCUAGAUACAUUCAUUUCUAUGACAAGUAAUUUCAAACGGAGGGAGUACAUG